UAGUAUAAACCUUCUGUGUGUUUCUGUUCUGUCUUCUUCAGGCAUUAAAGGAUGUGUCUUUUUGGCUACUGCUCUGCUGGAGCUGAAGCUUUCCCAAAACUCACAGCUAAGCAGUUCAGUGUGUGUUGUGCGGGACAGCUACAGAAUUCCAAUUACUGCAACGGUUUGAAGCUGAAUGAAAAAUGGGCAGCUCUCUAGGAACAGUGCGCUGUAACAGUUGCUUUGCUGCAGAGGGAUUUGUGAAUUUUAU
rnacentral:lncRNA from 1 species